AUGGCGGACGCCGUCAAGCAGCCGCUCCUCCACCACCAGCCCUACGCGUACCCGUCGCACGCCGCGUCGGCCUCGUCCCCCGCGCUCCCCUCCGUGCCCCACUCCGGGACCGGCACCGGCGCCGGCACCCCGGGGGGCGGGGCCGCCUCCUUCGCCGGGGGCCGCCGCUUCCCGGGCGGCCUCGACGUGCCCAACCUCAAGAAGCGCGGCGGCGGCACGCGCAGCUGGAUCCGCGUCGAGGCCGCCACGGCCUCCGUGCAGACGCUCGAGGUCGACAAGGCCACCAUGAUGCGCCGCUGCGAGCUCCCCGCCCGCGACCUCCGCCUCCUCGACCCGCUCUUCGUCUACCCCUCCACCGUCCUCGGCCGCGAGCGCGCCAUCGUCGUCAACCUCGAGCAGAUCCGCUGCGUCAUCACCGCCGACGAGGUGCUCCUCCUCAACUCCCUCGACAGCUACGUCUUCCAGUAUGCCGCCGAGCUGCAGCGCCGCCUCCUCCAGCGCGCCGAGGGCGACGAGCUCCCCUUCGAGUUCCGCGCCCUCGAGCUCGCCCUCGAGGCCGCCUGCUCCUUCCUCGACGCCCAGGCAGCAGAAUUGGAAAUUGAAGCAUAUCCCUUACUGGACGAGCUAACAUCGAAAAUUAGUACUCUAAAUCUGGAACGCGUUCGGCGGCUAAAAAGUAGACUAGUCGCUCUGACCAGAAGAGUUCAGAAGGUCAGGGAUGAAAUAGAACAACUAAUGGAUGAUGAUGGAGAUAUGGCUGAGAUGUAUCUUACCGAGAAAAAGAUGAGGAUGGAAUCAUCAUCUGUGUUUGGUGAUCAGUCAUUGGCAACCUUCAACGCGGCAGCCGCUGGGACUUCAGUUUCAGCUCCUGUGUCUCCAGUCUCUUCACCCACAGAAUCACGGAAGUUGGAGAAAACCUACAGCUUGUGUAGAAGUAGACAUGAUAGUGUAAAGAGCUCAGAUAACUCAGUGACUGAACAUAUUGAGGAGCUUGAAAUGUUACUGGAAGCAUAUUUUGUAGUCAUCGACAGCACUCUUAACAAGCUGACCUCGCUGAAGGAGUAUAUUGAUGACACCGAAGAUUUUAUCAACAUUCAGCUGGACAACGUCCGGAAUCAGCUGAUCCAGUUUGAGCUUCUGCUAACAACUGCAACAUUUGUCGUCGCCAUUUUCGGAGUGGUCGCGGGGGUAUUCGGGAUGAACUUCGAGACCGACGUUUUCAGCAUCCAGAAUGCAUUCCAGUGGGUGCUGAUCAUUACUGGAGUGGUUGGCGCUUUCAUCUUCUGCUUCUUCGUCUGGUUCUUCAAGUACAAGAGACUGAUGCCCCUGUAG
rnacentral:rRNA from 1 species